UCACAUAAUCUAGAAGGUGAAGCAGCUAUGGCAUUGAUGAGAGGCAAUUGAAAAGGUCAGUGCCUCUUGGUGCCUUUUUUAGGACAUGCUGCAUUGUAUGGUAAAAGUUAUUUCUAUAAACUCUUGCAUUUAUGUUGAUCGAUUGUUAGGGCCUCUUGGCAACAAGCCAAACCACUUAGGGUUUGAGCAGGUAAUCGAUAUGGAAACCAAUGUUAAUUUAGUAUGAGGUUUUACUGUUUUUAAUCCGAUGCUUGGUUUGCGAUAAUGUCUCUUAGUCUUGAGGGGUCCAAGAAGCCUCCAUAUGUCCAUAUGACAACCCAAACUUUAAAAUGCUUGUGACUAAGUUUGGGUAUAUAUUUAUCUCUAAUUUCCUUCUGCACAAAAUAGUUAUAUCAGUUUUCUCGUCUUAUCAAAAGUUUUACACAAUUAACAAUAUAUAGUGACUAUGCAUGCAUAUUUGCAUUUGAAACAUAUGGAUCUUGGCAGAUGUUUCUGGUUUUUUACACGUAUUAGCAUGAUGCAUCAAUGGUUGAUGCUCCAUAACAUUUACAUUUUUAAUUAUUUUGCAACACAACCAAGGAAAACCUUGUCAUGUUGAUUGCCUUUUUGGGUAGUUUCCUUGACUUAGUUAUUAUUGUAUAAAAUAGAUAAACCAGUAUGAUCUGCCAUUGUGAACAUGGCUACUUUGAUUAUCAAAUUCCUAUUUUUUCAGGGGACCUUUUAUUUUUUAGAAUACUGUUAGCUUAUUUUAAUGUAUUCACAGUGAUGGAUGGUAAUAUUCUAGGUCUAAUCUUCUAUAACUGUGGUGGAACUAUUUUAGGAAGUCAUUUUGUCCAUCCAAUUUGUUGGGGCUAGUUGAGUAGAACAAACAAAUUUUACAAUAAGCAUAUUCUUUCUAUUAUUGAAGAAUUGGACCACAUAGAUUGAAUAAAGUUAUUGCAUAGUAGCGCAUUGAGUCUCUAGCAUGUUACUCAUUUUGUUCAAUAUAACUACCAGAUUGAUAAAACUGGUACAUUGUUUACUAUAUUGAAUAUUUGAAUAUCUAUUAUAUUGAUGGGUAGAAUACUUAUUAAUAUUUCAGUCCUUUUUAUGGAGUUUAGUUUUGGUCUCUUUCUCUGAUCCUAUUGAGCUUGAACAACUCUCAUUCAUUUUCUUUCUAUUUCAUGUGUUGAUUCACAAUAAUCCCAUGCAUUCAUUAUUAUCAUGGUAUAUAAUUUAUUCUGUAAUACUUGGCUUACUCUACUGCACAUCAUUUAGUACUGUACAAAACUGGAGCCAUACUUUGACAAGAUUUAUCUACCUGAUAUACCUAAUAAAAAUAUUGUGCUUACAUCAUGUUUUGAUUUUAUUUCUAUAUUUUGAUUAUUUUCUUAGAUAAGCCGUGAACAUAAAUCUAAGAAUUAGAUUUUGGGUUUUCAAAGCUUGAGAGAAAAUGCAGCAAUGUGACAAACAUGAUGGUGAACUAGUAUAUCCAAGCCACUAUCAGUGAUUGAAAAGGGGUGAAGGGAUUUUUGCAUCCUUUUGCCAGAAGUAAUCAUGCCUUAUAUGCUUAAGGUUAUUUUAGGCUAUUUUGAACGCAGCUAUGGGAGUGAUUCUGUGUUUUCGGCUGUGUGUUUGUUCUGUGUUGUGUUGCUCAGAUAGGGUGUCAUGUAAUAGAAAGGGAUGAUGCUUGGGAUUCACUUGGUGGGGCAUGAGGUCACCGUGAGGGAAUUAAGGCUUCUAACUAAGGUUGAAAGUAACAUGACAUAGAGCUUUUGGAAUAAAGUGAUUGUCUUUUGUGAAUGAGAUAGACAAAGGGUUUUGACAUUCUGAAGAAUUUUAGCAAGACAAUGGGAGUAUACACUCCAGAAUAAUAACACAAUGCUUCUGGCCACAUUAGCAAAAGUGAAAGGGAUGUGCUAUAGGUGGCAAUAAGGAGGUUGUGUUUGCAAUGACUGACAAAGCAAAAGUAGUGUUGCCAGCAACCAUGGGUGGCUUCUACAUUUGGCAGUACAUUAUCUAAAUGAUAUUGAAUUCUUUCUGUAUCUCUGGUCCCGUUUAGGCUUGCUAUUCUGGUUUUCUUUUCUUACCCUUAAGUUGAGCCUGAAAUUUUUCACUGGAAUAUUGUGCAAGUUAAUUGCAGGUAUGAAUUUGGUUUGUGAUGACAUUUGUGGCAAGGAACAGUUUAGUCCCAGAAGAUUCAAUUGUUGCCUUAGGAACAGGCAACUAGAGGAUCCUCAUUUCAUUAGGUUCCACUUAUUCGUUCAAAACAUGAGAGGUACAAUAAAAUUCGGAAAAUAACACUUACCUGUUCCUAAUGUAUUUUGUCCUCUUUAUGGGGUGUGGUAUUUUGCGCUAAUAUUGUUUACAAUCACAUCUGUACAAAAAGAUAGGUUUAAUGCAUUGAGAGGUAGAGGCAUUGGGAGAUCAAUGAUAGUCUACACACUUGCAUUUAAUGUUCUUUAUGGAUCGAGUCCCUCUACACUGUUUGGGGUCCAUCCACUAGCUGAUUCUACCCUGCCUUAUGUGACUGUACUUGAAUGUGGAUGAAUUUAACAAUACGGAUACUUUACUCUUUCACAAAAAGAAGAAACACGUAUAACCUCUUCUAACAUAGUGGGAGGAAUAUGAGUAUAUGACAGUACAACACGAAGCUAUACACGGGUUUAUUUGUUUUGGGAACCAUAUAAAAAUUUGUAAAAAUAGCACCACGGGAUAGUCUUAACUUCUGCUUUCAAACCAAGUGUAAUUAUUUUGUCUAUCAUGUCCGUUCUGUUCAUUAUUCCUGUAUAUAUAUAUAUAGAAUUUUUUAUUUAAAUAAAUUAAAUAACUAUUUUAUUUACUGAUAAAUAAUUAUAAAAAAAUUAUUACAAAAAUAUGUCUUCCUGCCUUAUUUCGUUUACAGUAUAAACGAGAUAAGCUAAUGGAUGAAGUUAGUGCGCGUAACACGUGUUAGGGGUGUACAUGGGUUGUCUUAUCUCGUUUAUACUGCUUACGAGACAAAGUGCGCGUGACACGUGUUAGGGGUGUACAUGGGUUGGGUUACAUCGAGUUUGUCAUAAUUCAGGGUGUACAUGGGUUGGGUUACAUCGAGUUUGUCAUAAUUCAGACCCUGCUCGAAAUAUAUAUCGGGUCUAUUGAAAGAUUAAAACUCGUCGACUUUGAAUUUUUUUAUAAUUUCGUUGCAAGUAUAGUUCCAAAAAGAUAAGUAACACUCAAUUAAAGUUUAAUUUUUGGUUGUCAUAAGUCCAAUUCAACAAAAAUAAUCGAGAGUAUUAGUUACGGAUCAUUCUCCUUAGGAAUUACAAUCGAGUGUUCAAUUAUUGGUUAUGAGUUUCAUGAGUUG